AGAGUUUGAUCAUGGCUCAGAAUCAACGCUGGCGGCGCGCCUAACACAUGCAAGUCGAACGAGAAAGUGGAGCAAUCCAUGAGUAAAGUGGCGUACGGGUGAGUAACACGUGGGUAAUCUACCUCUUAGUGUGGAAUAACCCUGGGAAACCGGGGCUAAUACCGCAUAAGCUCGAGAGAGGAAAGCAGCAAUGCGCUGAGAGAGGAGCCCGCGGCCGAUUAGCUAGUUGGCAGGGUAAAAGCCUACCAAGGCAAAGAUCGGUAGCCGGCCUGAGAGGGCACACGGCCACACUGGCACUGAAACACGGGCCAGACUCCUACGGGAGGCAGCAGUGGGGAAUCUUGCACAAUGGGGGAAACCCUGAUGCAGCGACGCCGCGUGAGCGAUGAAGCCCUUCGGGGUGUAAAGCUCUUUCGGCAGGGAAGAUUAUGACGGUACCUGCAGAAGCAGCUGCGGCUAACUACGUGCCAGCAGCCGCGGUAAUACGUAGGCAGCAAGCGUUGUUCGGAGUUACUGGGCGUAAAGGGUGUGUAGGCGGUUGUUUAAGUUUGGUGUGAAAUCUCCCGGCUCAACUGGGAGGAUGCGCCGAAUACUGAAUGACUCGAGUGCGGGAGAGGAAAGUGGAAUUCCUGGUGUAGCGGUGAAAUGCGUAGAUAUCAGGAGGAACACCGGUGGUGUAGACGGCUUUCUGGACCGUAACUGACGCUGAAACACGAAAGCGUGGGUAGCAAACAGGAUUAGAUACCCCCGUAGUCC
rnacentral:rRNA from 1 species